GCGGGCUAACGCUGUGUUGUGGUGGUGGUACGGCAGGCUAGCUGUUACCUAGAGCUAGCAAUUUGCCCUAGUUAGCAAUGGGACGUCCAGCACCUGAUGGAACUUACUCUCGCUUGUUUUGACCGAAAGAUGACACAAUCUAUUGCCUACCUGCUCAUGGGCUUCAGUGCAGGACGCCUCAGAAGGCCGUUUCAGGCAUUUGUCCAACAGUGAUUCGAGUGUUGUCUUGCAUAUCCAUGCCGAGUUCCCCGAUGAAGGACGUUGGGACCUCGAUACAAGGCUGGCGGUGACCUCCUCUGGCUGGCUCGUCUGAACUGCGCUGACUUGUCUUCUAGGGCACCAACAUUGCAUUAGUCACAGGGUUUCCGAAGACCUUUCCACACAAAGCACACAGGAAAAGAAAAAUAUUGUUUAGAAUGCUAUGUCAUUUUUGAAUUAUUGAAGUAACACUAUUAAAAUGUUAUGUCAGAA